GUCGGCUCCGCCCACCUACUUAAGUGGGCGGAGACAGUCGCGUGAGUUCGAGGAGCCUACAUUCUCCCGCGCUAUUAACCAGCCCGCCCCACUUUGCACAGGCGCGUUCAUCCGCACUAGACCCAUGGGUCAUUGAGAGGCUCCUGGAGUUGCGCCUGCGCUGUAGACUCCUCUACCGGAAGUGGGCGGAUCGUAUUCCAAGGACUAAAGGGCGGAGGGAGAAAGCGCGGCAAAGACGAGACUUGGGCAGCUGUUGGGGCACUGUCCCUGAUGCCCUGCUGCAGAACUACUGAGCCUAGAAAUGGAAAGACCAGAAUAUGGUCAGAGAGAACUUGCUUUUCGAUUUUUAAAAAGAUUUUAGAAGAUUAUUCUUUUUACAUUUGUGUUAAAUGAAGAUUUUAAGGAAAGAGAGGAUUUCCUUUAAAUCCCCCUCCCCCACCGAAUUCUUACAUUUCUAGAAGACUUCAGGAGUCAAAGAGAUAUUUGAAUGCCUUGUGCCCAGUUGGGGAACAAGUAUUAUGACCAAAACCCAAAAACAAAACCAAAAGCAAAACAGCGUUAUGUUCUUGCCCAAAGAAACGCUCGUCCCUAGUCAGAAAACUGUUAGGAAGAUACGUUAAAUAAGAGCCGGAAAAGAAACAUCUCUGCAUCAAGUCCUAAAGUGGGACUCAAAUGGACGACCCUGAGAUCAGGAGUUGCAUGCUCUUCUGACUGAGCCGGCCAGGCACCGCCCGAAAAAUGUGUGAAUGGUGAUGUUUGCCCGGUUGUCAACCAAAGUAGAGAGCUGGGAGGUGCUGAGCAGCUGAGAGAGACAGAGCAUGAGAGGGGGAGGGGCAG